rnacentral:rRNA from 1 species
UACGUAGGGUGCGAGCGUUUAAUCGGAAUUACUGGGCGUAAAGCGUGCGCAGGCGGUUGUGCAAGACAGAUGUGAAAUCCCCGGGCUCAACCUGGGAAUUGCAUUUGUGACUGCACGGCUAGAGUGUGUCAGAGGGGGGGUAGAAUUCCACGUGUAGCAGUGAAAUGCGUAGAGAUGUGGAGGAAUACCGAUGGCGAAGGCAGCCCCCCUGGGAUAACACUGACGCUCAUGCACGAAAGCGUGGGGAGCAAACAGG